CAGAUCGUUAAUAGUACUGUACCAUAGUACGGUACCUGUUUUGGGUAAUUUCACUUGAAUCAGGGUUGUUGUUAGCUUGCUAUUAUAGCUGGCUAAUCCAAAUGGAAUUAUCAGGAAGCCAGCUAACCUCCCAGAGGAACUUCUUUGUCUUCGUUCAAUGUCAAAGCACGGCAAUUCCGUUACUUUCUCUGCAUCCAACGGAAUACACGGUCAAGAGGAGAGGACGACAUUGUAGAGAUGAAAUAUCACUCCGCACGAUUAUGAAGCCACUCAAAACGGACACAGACUGACUCACGCCUUGAGAAGAGAGAAUCUGUCAACAGACGAAGGGAGGGAGAGGGGAAGGAAAGAUAUGGAAAGGAAAGUGGGAAUGGAGAGAGGGUGGUUUGGAGGAGAAGAGGGAGGGAAGGAGAGUAGUUGUAUGCUUACCAUUUUGUUGGGGUAACGUAGGACUACUGGUUGGACUGGAACUGCUGGAAUGAAGGCCCCUGAGAGAGAGAAAUGUUACUGAGUGAGCUCGAGUGUGUGUCUGUGCGUAUUUGUGUGUGUGUGUGUCUAUGUGAGCAUAUUCAUACUCUCCCAUAUAUACCGUAUACCGGUUACUUGGAAAUAGCCACGGGAUGGUUUUUCAAUACUGUUGUAACUAUCAUUUUUUAAAUAAAUGUGAAUAUUUCUAGGUA